rnacentral:lncRNA from 1 species
GGGCCAAGGGCAUCGGCUCAAGCCCAAACAAGAUAGACGGCUCCAAAGGAGAAGAUCAUGGUGGAGGUGAUGCAGGGUGUGGGACCUCUUCCCUCAAAAGAAGGAGCCAUGCAAUUAAGGCCAUAAGACCAACCAAGCCUCCUAUGAGCAGGGCCCAGAGAUCCCCACAUCUACGGGACAAGGUCCCUUAUCGCACCACCCCCCUCCAGAAGUUUCCUCAAUCGUUUUCCAAAGCUGAGAAUUCAGGGGCACUUUUUGGAGUGCCAGAGAGGAAAGAGGCUGAGAGGGAUACCCAUAAAGGCAGCCAAAGAAAGUUGAAGGGCACGUCUUCUCUGACAAGGAACCCUGAGGACUCCCAAUCCAGUGGCCCUAAAAAUCCCAUCAAAGUGGCCCAGAGAGCAAAAAGUAUGCAGGUCCCAGAGGGGAUAGUUUAUACUCCCCAGAGUCAAACCCCUUCAAAAAACAGCUUUAUGGAAAAGAUAAAACACUUCCUUCACUGGCUCAGCCUCACGAAAAAACUUGGGAGUCAGAACUUAGUCCACACCUUCCUCAGGGCUGAGGUGUCACCAUCCAAGAAGGGUAUUCCUAAGAAGGUCCCCAUCUCAGCCAGCGGCUCCACAAGUAAGGGACAGAAAGCCAAGAAGAACGUGGAAUUCAAGGAGCACUCCUACCCAUUCCCAAGUAAGAACCUUCUGGUCAGUACCAAGGCCCCCCCAAUGAGUCAGAUCCACCAUCUCAAUUGCCACAAGGGCCAUCCACACUUCUGGAACCCAGAACAGUGCCAGCGCUUCAAUCACUGUUCAGAUAUGUCCGUUCAGCAGGAAAAUGAUCCUUCCUCCCUCGUGCCUUCUGAGGACAACUUUUGCUCCCUCAGAAAAAAGGCCCAGUCCCAACAGAGAGAGUGACUUCAUUCUCAUGAAUGCAUACCCUCUGAUCAGGACAGUAUUCUUUUCCAUUAAUGUGGGGCCACCGUCCUUCCCAAAUACAUUCUAUUCCUCUAAUGGGACAGCAGAGUCUUCUGUCCC